UACGUAGGUGGCAAGCGUUGUCCGGAUUUAUUGGGUUUAAAGGGUGCGUAGGCGGCCCUGUAAGUCAGUGCUGAAAUAUCCCGGCUUAACCGGGAGGGUGGCACUGAUACUGCGGGCUAGAGUGACAGAUGAGGUAGGCGGAAUUGACGGUGUAGCGGUGAAAUGCUUAGAUAUCGUCAAGAACACCUAUAGCGAAGGCAGCUUACUAGGCUGUAACUGACGCUGAGGCACGAAAAGUGUGGGGAUCAAACAGG
rnacentral:rRNA from 1 species